ACUAUGAUAAGUCUCUGAUCUCGGCCAUACCUCCGACACCAAUGCAAUAAUUCGCCUGGUAGCGUGCUAGUUCGGGUUGUACGACGCCCUCACCGCCGACAUCAAUGCAAUAAUUCGCCUGGUAGCGUGCUAGUUCGGGUUGUACGACGCCCUCACCGCCGACAUCAGUGCAAUGAUUCGCCUGACCGUGCGCCGACCUGAACGACAUGCCGAGCCGUACUACGGCUUCGCCCUGUUACAUCGCAGGUAAACCGACCCCCGCCUAUAAAAGGGAGCCUUGGCCUCUCAGGAGGGGGUUGGAAGAUGGAUACACUCUACAGACACUGUUUAUCUCUCUUUUCACACUAUUUGCCCCCUCCCUGACUUGAGCGUCGGAGGGCCGGCGCCGGAAAACCCGGCCACCGGUUCGUGUGCAGGCACCCAGACGGAGGACGCCACCAGCUGACGGAUCGCCGCCUCACCACGAGGACCAGCUGCUCCUUCUCUCCGACCACACCAGACGGAGGACGCCGCCCGCCGAC
rnacentral:lncRNA from 1 species